rnacentral:lncRNA from 1 species
ACACGUACCACGGCCAUGGCAGCAAAAACACAAGCAAUCUUAAUUCUCCUCCUCAUCUCCGCCGUCCUCAUCGCCUCCCCGGCCGCAGGCCUAGGCGGCUCCGGCGCCGUCGGCGGCCGCACCGAAAUCCCCGACGUCGAAUCCAACGAGGAGAUCCAACAAUUAGGCGAAUAUUCCGUCGAACAGUACAAUCAACAGCAUCACAACGGCGACGGCGGCGACAGCACCGACAGCGCCGGCGAUCUCAAGUUCGUGAAGGUCGUCGCGGCGGAGAAGCAGGUAGUGGCCGGAAUUAAGUAUUACUUGAAGAUCGUCGCGGCGAAAGGCGGACACAAGAAGAAGUUCGAUGCGGAGAUCGUUGUGCAGGCGUGGAAGAAGACG